UACGUAGGGUGCAAGCGUUGUCCGGAAUUAUUGGGCGUAAAGGGCGCGUAGGCGGCCUUCUAAGUCGAACGUGAAAUCCCUGGGCUCAACCCAGGAACUGCGUCCGAUACUGGAAGGCUUGAAUCCGGGAGAGGGAUGCGGAAUUCCAGGUGUAGCGGUGAAAUGCGUAGAUAUCUGGAGGAACACCGGUGGCGAAGGCGGCAUCCUGGACCGGUAUUGACGCUGAGGCGCGAAAGCCAGGGGAGCAAACGGG
rnacentral:rRNA from 1 species